UCUCGAGAGUCCGCUGGACGGAGCGGUGCGUUGCGCCUCCACGCCGCCCCUCUCCCCCGCUCGCUCACUUCGCCGCCCACCACGCCCAUGGCCGCCGCAGCCGCCACCGCGCCCUAGGCAUCGAGCGAGGCCAGAUGCUCUCCCUGGGCGCCCUCCGCAAGCUCUGCGCAGCCUUUGACGCCGUCGCGCUCACCGUCAUCGCUGCGGGGCUCUCGCGCCCGCCCUCGGGCCGCCACCCUUUCUCCUCCGCGCACGCGCACUCCUCGCACCCCGCUGACUUCCCCACCAUCGCCGCCUGCCGCGCCGCGAUAUCCGCCUCCAAGGGUGACCGCCGCCGCCGACCCGGCGUCGGCCAGCCCUCCUCCUCCCCUUCCCCCUCUCUCGCAGCCGCUGCAGCCAAGGAGGAGCAGGAGCAGCCGGUGCUGGUAAGGAUCAAGCACGAGCGGGACCCGGAGCGGCUGUACCAGCUGUUCAGGGCCAAUGCGCACAACCGCCUCCUGGUGGAGAACCGCUUCGCGUUCGAGGACGCGGUGGCGCGCCUGGCGGGUGCUCGUCGGAAUGACCUCGUCGAGGAGAUCCUCGAGCAGCACAAGGCGCUGCCCCAGGGGAGGCGGGAAGGGUUCGUGGUCAGGAUCAUCGGCCUGUACGGGAAGGCCGGGAUGCCAGGCCACGCGCUACGGACUUUCCAGGAGAUGGGGAUGUACGGGUGCCCGCGCACCGCAAAGUCGCUCAAUGCCACCAUGAAGGUCCUGCUGCGGGCACGGAUGUUUGAUGAGGCUCUGUCGCUGUUUGAGGAGGGGCCAGAGAAGUACGACGUCGAGGUGGAUGACAUCUCGUGUAACACGGUGGUGAAGAUGUUCUGCGACAUGGGGGACUUGCGUGCGGCGUACCAGGUCAUGCAGGGGAUGGAGAGGGCUGGUGUGCGGCCGGAUGUCAUCACGUACACGACGCUCAUGGCUGCUUUCUAUAAGUGUGGCCGACGCGAGGUUGGGGAUGGUUUGUGGAAUCUCAUGAGGCUGAGGGGUUGUGUGCCGACACUUGCUACCUACAAUGUGAGGAUCCAGUUCCUGGUUAACAGGGGAAGGGGGUGGCAGGCAAAUGAGUUGGCACGGAAAAUGUAUGUGGCGGGGAUCAAACCAGAUGAGAUCACAUACAAUCUAAUUAUCAAGGGUUUCUUCAUGAUGGGUGAGCAUGAGAUGGCCAAGACGGUCUUUGGCGCGAUGCACGGGAGGGGAUGCAAGCCAAACAGUAAGGUUUACCAGACAAUGGUCCAUUACCUCUGUGAGAGAAGGGACUUUGAUUUGGCAUUCAGGUUGUGCAAGGAUAGCAUGGAGAAAAAUUGGUUUCCGAGUGUCGAUACUAUUAACCAACUGUUGAAAGGCCUCAUGGCUAUCUCAAAGGAUAGGAAUGGGAAAGAGAUAAUGAAGUUGGUUACUGGGAGAAAACCUUCGUAUUCAGAUGGUGAAAUGAGGGUCUUCAAAGAUAUAUUAUCUCAUAGGAAGACUGGAAGAUAAGUUGAUGUCUGGAUAGGAAAUUUGCUGUAAAUCCACCACUUGUAACUGUAAGGCUGUUGUUGACAUUCUUUUAUCACUCCGUUUUCAUAGUCAAGUUGAAAUGGGGUUGAUCCAAGGGUUUUGAAUAUUGAAUCAUCCUGUCGGGCAACAGUUUUACAGCUCCUUAAAAUAAGUUAGUGUAAGUUAUAGGAAUUCCGUACCUGUAGCAGAAGUAUCAUGAUUCAUGAAUGACACCAUGACAAGGACUUUGAGAGCUGGAGGUUCUGUUUUAUACUUUCGUUGGCUAAUGUUGGAUUUUUAUAGAAAGUUGUGAUCGUAAUAAUUCAACAUAACUACAUAAGAAUGUGAUGUUGGCACAUUCAUUGGGAAAACUUAUGAGAGUCAGUGGUGUCCGCAAGUGUUUAGGAUAGAGUUUGUUCAGGAGUUGUAUCAGUUCAGCCAUGGUUUGUUCAAUUGAGUCAAGGGUCCAGAGUUUGUUCUAUGCUUUUAGUUGGAGAAAAAAAAGUGUUUGUUAUUUGGUUCCACCUACUUAACAUGAGUGGUGUUCCAGUUGUAAUUAAGAAGAAAUAAAGUUGAUUCCAUCUAAAGAUGUUGUUCAGAGCCCCCUUACGAAGGCAGAUGAUAGUUACACAGCUUUUAAUUGUCCCUGAGGAUGCUUGAUAUUGGCCUACUGCAGCAAGUCUGGCUCGGAACUUCCUGAGAUACUUUGAGCCACCGCUGUUUGGAGGGCUGCGGUGGCUUGGCGUCGGCAAGAAUGUGGCUCAACGUCGUGGCUGCAGCCCGACAGUCGCGGACGUUCUGGAGCGAAAACCAGGAUUAACCAUCUGCUGCAACGCCAACGCCUGGGACAUGGGCUGCAGGAACAAGUGCCAUCCAGACAUUCGCUUUCCUUUCCUCAGUAAGUGGACAUUCAGAAAGUAGAUGUGCCGGAUCUAACCCAUCCAUCUGUGGUGGCGUCUGCUGACUUUGGUUGCACUAAAAGUUUUCUUCAGGACUUGUUACUGCCAUUUGAGUUGAUACUGUGAUGCCCAAUUUU